GCUUCGUUGUGUUUUGUUUCAUCGCCUUGGCUGGAGCGCAUAAAAGAGUGAUUAAUCAACUGAGGGAACAAUUAGCUAUGGAGAGUCGGGACAAACUCUUCCUCAUCCAGCAGUUGACUAAAGCCCAGAUGCUUCGCGGGGACUUUUUCAAUCCCCUUGAAGGGAACAUGAAGUCCAAGCAAGGAGGGGCUGGCUUCAGCAGAUAACUGGACUCUCCCGCCAUCGCAAACUGGGACGGACACGUUCAGCUUGCUGUAGACGGAGGGUUUUCUGCGGCGCUGGCUUCAUUCGUGUCCAGGGUGAUCGCACCGCACAAGAGCAACGACAAACUCUUCCUAAACCAAGAGGAGGCUGGAUUCAAUGGAGAUGGGGGUGGAUGAGGAUGAAUUGUAUUGCAACCCAAACUAUGUAACUCACAUGGAUGUGCACAGCAUCAGGACUAGGGGUGGGAUUCAGACGGUUCAGACCGGUUGAGGGGGAAUCAGAUGUUAAUUUUAAUCCGGUAGUUCAAAGGGCUGGCUGAACCUGCCCACCCCAUGCCAUCCUACUCCGCCCCUCCCAGGAGUCUCCCCGUGAGCCGUUCAUGCCAGGUAAUUGCAAGGCUCUGGGAGGGCGAAAAAUGGGCUUACCGAAAGUCCAGAAACGGGCCCAUUUCUAGCCCCCCGGAUCCUGAGGGAGGCCGUUUUCGCCCUUCCAGAGGCUCAAGAAAGACCUUCAAAGCCAGAGGCGAGGGCGUUUCUACCCUAAUGGCCCCCGAUUGUGGUGCAGGACGCUGUGCGCCCAUGCGUUAUUGGCCUAGUUGCUUUAAAAAAAGAUAAGGAAUGCGGGCAGGCGGGUGGGCCAAACGGUGGCCGCUGCUCACGGCUACUACCAAGCUGUACUUCCCAGAACCCACCACUAUCUUUAGCAUUACAUUUCUUAGAGAAACAGUCAUUUCCAGAUUUAUGGCCAUAGCCUUUUCCUGUUGUUUUUUUUAUUAUUGUUUGACGGAGAUAAAGUUUUAUGGAGCUAGGGACCAUUCAAAACCUAAUCAGUAUAAAGAGAGUCAAAAGGUUAAAGAUUGCUGCUGAACAAUCACAGUUGUUGGAAUUUCCAAGCUGCCAGAUUCCCUGGCCUUGUGUACAAACCACUUCGAUCAAUGCACACCCAAUCUUAAGGCGGAAGAGCUGAGGAUUUAAUGACCGGGGAGCGGUCUGAAAGCUGCUUCAGCAACUUGACCGCGUAACUAUUGUUAUAGAACCAUAGAAGUAAUACCGGCAGUCCGUGUUUAGCAGCUGCCUCCUUGAGCGUCUGUUUGCAGUUACGAUGGUGAUGAAAAAGUAACUGUAGGACCAAAUUUGUGAGCCUCGCGGGUCGCAAAAGGAAAGCUGAAGUUGAGAUCAGAAGCACAAUGGCAGUUUCACUUAGUGAUUGCCUCACUUAACUUCUGGUGGUCGCUAAAUGAGGACAACCAGUACUUAUUUGGGGGAAGAAGACGGACAUCUGGCUUAACGUUAUAAACUUGAAAUGUCACGUCUGCAUUUAAGAACGGUGCCUGUUGCAGUUUCACUUAGUGAUUGCCUCACUUAACUUCUGGUGGUCGCUAAAUGAGGACAACCAGUACUUAUUUGGGGGAAGAAGACAGACAUCUGGCUUAACGUUAUAAACUUGAAAUGUCACAUGUCUGCAUUUAAGAACGGUGCCUGUUACAAGGGUAUGUUACAAGACUGGUCCCUCAAUGUUUUAUAGAAAACAUUUGUAAAACUAAACAAGGAUGUGAAUACAAUAAACAUACAAUGAAAACUUUGCAGAAAUGACAUGCUUUUAUUUGUGAUCAGUUUUUUUAAAAAAAUGAAGAAAAUACAUUUUAUAAGAAAAGAUAUUCAAAAUGCCUUCAUCGGAAUAAAAUCAUUGC